rnacentral:rRNA from 1 species
AAAUUGAAGAGUUUGAUCAUGGCUCAGAUUGAACGCUGGCGGCAGGCCUAACACAUGCAAGUCGAACGGUAACAGAAAGAAGCUUGCUUCUUUGCUGACGAGUGGCGGACGGGUGAGUAAUGUCUGGGAAACUGCCCGAUGGAGGGGGAUAACUACUGGAAACGGUAGCUAAUACCGCAUAAUGUCGCAAGACCAAAGAGGGGGACCUUCGGGCCUCUUGCCAUCGGAUGUGCCCAGAUGGGAUUAGCUAGUAGGCGGGGUAACGGCCCACCUAGGCGACGAUCUCUAGCUGGUCUGAGAGGAUGACCAG